CAUGUUAUAUGUUAUCAUUGCAAAAACAAAUAUUAAUAAAUGUAACUUUCAAAUAAGAAUAAUAUAAAUGUUACUAAUGCAAUAACCCGGGGCGUCACCCGAACCUAAACACUAGUUGUAUAUGAAUUUUUUAGUAAGUUUCUUGUGGAUUUAAAACUAUAAGAGAACAAUGAUCAAAAGACGAGAGAAAUAUAUAAAUCUAGUCAAGAAGUGAAAACUCCAAUUCACUGACUUAAAAACUGGUAACAAAAAACUAAACAUCUUUUUUUGUGAUUUCUAUAAUUUGGUUGUUUAGUUUUAUAAAACAUCGAAAACCGAAAAGAAAAAAAAUUAAAUAAGACCGAACGAACCCUAAGUUUCAUGUUUUUCAUUUGUUGGUGAUGUGGCCUAAAAUAAUAGACUGCCACAUGGCUUUACUAUAAUGGCCAAAGAGGAAGACAAAGAUUCUCCAGCAUGGAUACCCAAAAUCCAUACUGAGCCCAUAUCCGCCUUAAGACCCAGGGCCCAUCUCUUCAGCCUAUGAACCCAUUUGAUUGGAAGAGUCCCUGGCCAAAUCAUGACAAAAAGCCCAAAGCUUGCAGGGAAGCCCAACAUGAAAAGGGCCCAACGGGUCUAAAUCAGACCUUCUAUUAUCAGAUACAUGUCCUAAUCUGGGAAAAGCACCCAAUCAUCAAGCUAGGGAUAGGAUCAAAUCCCAAGAAACCCUAGCACUAUAAAUAGUGCAGAUCCCUAGGUAAAAGGGGGCAUUCAAUUCAUUCCCACCUACCUUAAACUAUCUUUGCUCUGCCUUCUCUCUACAAAUUACUUCUCUCUCUAGCUUAUACUUACUUAAGCAUCGGAGGAAAUAUUCCUACAGGAAUAUUCUUGUUUUGCAGGUUGCCAGAAGAUCGUGCCAGCUCAUACUUGAUACCUCUGAGGAACGCGUGACACGUCAUCACCGUAAAAUAUCCUACAACAUUUGGCGCCGUAUGUGGGGAGGUAUAGUAUCAUGGCCGAGCCACAAUCUGAAGGAGAGUAUAAUGGUGAAGUAGAGGAGAGACGGCCUCGGGAAAGGAGCCAACGCCAUAUAGAGGAAGCAAAUCGAGUUGCAAAUGCUGGAAGCACGCCGCGCCGAGUCCAGGAGGCUGAGGUCACUAGUAGAAAAAACCCCUGUUGCAGCCCCCUUGUUGCAGCGUACAUGUAUUAAUACGCUUCAAUAACCAGUCGGUCAACGCGGGUCAAACCUUUUAAAGGGUUGUUGCAGCGUACAAUUUAAUUGUUCCCUGCAAAAAAGUUUGUUGCAGCGUACAAUUUAAAAGCCCCCUGCAAUAACCUAUUUUUGUCGCAGCGUACAUUUAAAAGCCCCCUGCAAUAGCCCGGGUCAAAAAAAAAUUCGCUGCAAUAUUAAAAUUUCAUUUCUCGCGCUUAACUCCCCUCUUCUUCCCUUACCUUUUCCUGCGUAGUCCCCAAAAAAAACCCUUCCUGCGUCGCCAUAGCUUACUCGUCGGUGGUUCUGGCCUCCUCGCCAGUCGUCACCUUUAUUCGAAACCCUCUCCUCUUCCAAGAAAAACCACGAGCAGCUAGUGAGCUACCAGCCUACCCUCUCAGUCCUCCCAUCUUCAAUUCUCUGAACCUGUACCUUUCUUUCACGAAAGCCGGCCACCAAGGGUAAGACGGAUUUGUAAUCUCGAAAUUCUGCCGCGUUCACCACCGUCUCACCACCUUCCGAUGGAGAUCCAAUUGGGUUCAACUACCACCGUUUCUCACCAAUCGCGUUUCUCACCACCACCACCACCGCCCGUUUUUCUUCAAAUUUAAGUGAAUUUAUGCACUACGGAGAAUUAGGGAUUUGAGGACGCUUAAUUAUCAGGAUUUCAUCCGCAAACUCUGCACUUAGAUUUUGGGAUAUGGGUUGAGGUUGAUUCUUUUUGGUUAUGCUACUGCUCUUUAAGUAUAGGCAUCGCAAAGCAAAUGGAGAGGCGUCGAGCUUAGGUUUCAGAAAUUGAUGGUGUUUUUAAUGAUUAAAUAAGACAGCUGGUGUUGGAAAUGCUGCUGGAGUUGGAACUCAUUCCUGUACUGAAUGUGUUUCUGAAUGUGCUGCUAAAUGUGGAUUUCUGAUUGGAAGAACUGUGGCUGUUUUGAUAACUAUGACGAUUGGGACCUCGAUGGCUGCUCGUCAAGGUCCUCUAGCCAUGGCUGCUCAUCAAAUCUGUAUGCAAGUGUGGUUGGCUGUCUCUCUUUUAACUGAUGGAUUGGCCGCAUCUGGUCAGGUCUACACUCCGAGGAUUGCGCCUUAUGCGAGGAAUUUGAUGUGGUUCGUGAGCAAUGGGCUAAGUUUUUUACCAACAAGUAUUUAUUAUUGGCUUUAGCGCGCUUGAUCGAGUUGGUUUAGUUGUUAUAGAAUAAAUUUUAUAUUAAAAUGUAUGUUUAUGUUGAAAUUGGAACAUAUAUUUAAAUGUAAUAUGUGCACUUUGGUUUUGGGAUAAA